UACGUAGGUGGCAAGCGUUGUCCGGAUUUACUGGGCGUAAAGAGCGCGCAGGCGGCCCGAUAAGUCCGUUGUGAAAGUCAAAGGCUCAACCUUUGAAUGCCGAUGGAUACUGUCGGGCUAGAGUCCGGAAGAGGCGAGUGGAAUUCCUGGUGUAGCGGUGGAAUGCGCAGAUAUCAGGAGGAACACCAAUAGCGAAGGCAGCUCGCUGGGACGGUACUGACGCUAAGGCGCGAAAGCGUGGGGAGCGAACAGG
rnacentral:rRNA from 1 species